UACGGAGGGGGCUAGCGUUGUUCGGAAUUACUGGGCGUAAAGCGCACGUAGGCGGCUUUGUAAGUUAGAGGUGAAAGCCCAGGGCUCAACCCUGGAAUUGCCUUUAAGACUGCAUCGCUAGAAUUGUGGAGAGGUAAGUGGAAUUCCGAGUGUAGAGGUGAAAUUCGUAGAUAUUCGGAAGAACACCAGUGGCGAAGGCGACUUACUGGACACAUAUUGACGCUGAGAAGCGAAAAGCAUGGGGAGCAAACAGG
rnacentral:rRNA from 1 species